AAGCCAUCCUAGGGAACUCCAUUUCUUCCCACCUUUCAAGAAGGGCACUGUGUAAACGAAACCUGCUAAAUGCAGUAGGAAGUUUUACUGCCUGGAUAUGGUGUGAUAGGCAGCUGCAUGUUGCGAUGACCUCUACCUAAGACAGAUAUUAAAUGCUUGCUCAGCUCCUCACCAGCGGGCCAGCCCAGAGCACAGCUCUUGCAUUUGAGUUCAGCUACCACCACUUAUUGGAGCUGUGAUUCUGGAUAAGCUAAAGAAUCUCCUAGAUCCUGGGAGAUGAAGAUCACAUUAACUUUUCAGAUAAUGAAGAUUAGAGUUAAUUGCAGUAAAGUGCUUAACUAAAUCCCUGCCCCAUAGUAGGUACUCAGCCAGUGCGUUCUGCCUCUUUAAACUGCUUCUUUAAACCUCAAUAUAGAUGCGUAUUUCAGAGUGCUUUAAUCAACAGGAACAUUAAUUGCUUACUCAGACAUGCUGUUAGAAUAGAAAUUUAUAUGGGAAUCUGCCCCAGUGUUUUUGCCUUGUAGUACAUAAUUGAGUUUCAUUUGUCCAUACUAAUAGAGAAGAGAGAUGACAUGAGAAAGUAACAGUAGAUAAUAUCUUUAGCUUGGUAAUUAAUUUAAUAAUUACCUUUGCAAAGAAGAGUAAUAGAAUUUCAUAGCUGGGAGAAAACUUUGAGAUUGCAAAACCUCUUUAACUUUACAGUUGAGAAAACAGAUCUUAGAGGGAUAAUGAGUCACCAGGAUCACAUACUGUUGCGAACUUAGUAGCUGAGUUACAGAUAUUAUGGUAACUCCUAGUCCCCUGUUCUUUAUUUGCCUCUUUCAGAGUACAGGGUGGGGCAAAAGUAGGUUUGCAGUUGUUCCUAUGGAAAAUAAUGCAAUCAUUCAUAAUACAAGAAUGAACUGUGUUUUGUGUCCUUAUAACUGUAAACCUACUUUUGACCCACUCUGUAUAUUUGCUUAGGUGCAUGUCCAAAGCCACCCAUGUGCCUUGAGAGUUGAUACCUGGGAACUCAGCCAAGUGCAAGAUGAAGGAUGCAUGAGCUUGAAGAAACCAAAACACCUUUGAGCUUUUCCUCUCUCUGAGCUUUUUCAGAGACAGAUACUCACCUGACUGAAAAACACAGCUGUAGCUGUGUGAUGUUGGGUUGUGGGCCAGCAAAAUUAGGGUGAGAAGCUAGCACUGGGGAGAGGCAUUCUUAAUAGAGUAGAUAUACAUCUAUCUAAGUCAGAAUAAAAGGAAAAAGGGUAUGGGUUCCAUGUCAAAAGAGAGGCAAGAGAAAGGACCACAUAUAUAUCAUGAGCCAAAAGCAAGUAGUUAGAAGGUUAGUCUCACAGGUAGCAAAAGCGUGUAGGAAUGAAACAUCAUUCUCAUAGAAGCUGAGCCCCUGAGCCCCACUCUGAGAGGUGCCUACGGGUGUGUGUGUGUGUGUGGGGGGCUGCUCUUGAGAGCUUGAGGUUUGAAAGAGAAGCAGUUACAAGCCAUCAACAGGGAGCCAGCUUUGCCACGGACCAACUCUUUUUUUUGCCUUUGCUCAGAAGUUUCUUCGUUUCCUGGCCCAGUGGGAUCAACUAUAGCUGGUUGUGGUUUCUAGCUGUAAAUGUCGAAUGGACUGAAUGAAAUAAUUUCUGAGUAAUUCCUGAGCCAUCAUCUUUAGCUCUAAGUUCGAAGCUGACCUUUACAAUUUCAGACAGCUCUUCAACUCGCAUUGCUUUGCUUCAUAAUCCUGUACAAAAAUUGCUUUUGAAUUUAACGUAGAGAAAUAAGUGCUUAAUCUGUUACAUAAAUUAAGUAGGAAUGACGUUGGAAUCAUGGCCAACCUGAAAAACCAGUAAUUUUCCCCAAAUAUGGAUUUACUUAUUGCACUAAUAAGCCAUUCAUAUAUAAGUAUGAAGUCUGUUAUCUUGGGUCUUGAUGAGUUUGAUAUAGUACUAAGAUGAAUACAUUUGAUUUAGAAGUAGUUUCAGUGUAGAAUUAUUUCCCUUUAGGAAAUUAUAUAUUUAGGUAAAAUUUUUGAAUAAGUUUAGAGGAAUCCUUAAAAACACUUCAAAGGCACUCAAAAAUUCUGUUAUGCAGGCCUUCGAAUUCCAAUAGAUACGAACAGUUUGGAUUUGUAUAAUAUAAUUCAAAGUUGGAGCACAUAAAUGCUGAAAUAAAUUAUAACAUUUAAACUUGAAUCCUUGUGCUUUAGAUACAAAAUUAAGUGUUUUAAAUUUAGACUUGAAUCUUUUGCCGAUUUUAUGUUGACUUGACUGAAAUGAGUGAAAAUGAAUGUUAACUACUCAUUUGCUCACUAGAUUUAAAUAGUUAGGGUGGAUUAGGUCAGUGGACUUGGAAGUUGGUGGGAUAAAGCCACCAAAACACAAAUGAGUGAGUCUGUGCCGUUGUUGAAGUAAUUAGCUGAGUAGGCUUUGUGGCUGGACCUUUCAGUAACCCCUCACCAUGGGUCUCUCACCUAAUUCAGGAAUGCCGGCUUCCCAGAAAGUGCAUAGUGCAAGUGGUGCCUUCAGCUCCCCUUUUGUAUGAUGAGUCAUAUUCCGAGUGGUCUCUCUGUUCUGCUGUAAUGCAUAAUUCAUGCAAAAAAAAAAUCUGAUUUCAGCUGUGUCGACUUCAAAGGGCUGCAAUCAGGCCUAUAUAUCUGGAAGGAUGUGUUCAGAGGAGAGUUUCUGUUUUUCAUUUACACAACUGGAAAAAUCAGACUAUCUUUGAUCAAUUUAGUGGCAAGGAGCCGAAACCAGCUUUCUGAUUUGCCAGCUUUAUUUAAGCCUUUUGUUUUCCUUUGCAUCUUAAGAAGCUCGAGGGGAUGAAGGCUGUGUACAUUUGACAUAAUUAUUUUGUUUAUCUUUGGAAGAGCUGAUCUUUAAAUUGAAGUAGGAAUAAAAGUGUCUGAUAUUUGGAAUAGCUGCUCACA